rnacentral:lncRNA from 1 species
UGUGUCAGCAAAUCCCAUUAGCACCACCUUCAAUUAUACAGAGAAUCCAACUACAGUGGUACUUUGACGGUCAUUGUUAAUUGAUCCAGGAGGUGGGAGGAGCACCAAACAAAUUGUUUUGACUGGAAAGGGCAGUGAGUCAUCAGGCAAUUGAAACUGACAAGUGUUAGCUUGCACAUGGAAUACCAAAGAACAAGUACCAGGACAAAACUUCUGCAUCAAAAUAUUUCAAGUACCAAACUGCAUGAGUUUCAAAGCAGUCAAGGACCAAGGUAAGAUGCUGUUCAUGUACAGAAUCAAUAGGAUGAUGUUCUCCGACAUGAAUAAUCUCAAGAAAUACAAAACCAUGAUGUUAAACCAAAAUUCUUCAGACCAAGUUUUCUG